rnacentral:lncRNA from 1 species
AACCUCAUUGCUUAAUCAAAUUAAGCUAAUUAGCAAUCAAAUAGCUAAUUAAUCUACCUGUAAUUUACUAACACUUAGUGAAUUAUAUAAUUACAAUAUUUGCAUAAGGUUAAUCAUCAAUAAUAUUGACAAUUAUACUCUUCAAGGAUUCAUAAUCAUUGAUCAACCACCUGAUUGGACAAGAAUCUUUUUUUGUGUGUGACCCCAUAGAUUCUAUUUUAUCUGGU